UACAGAGGUCUUAAGCGUUGUUCGGAUUCAUUGGGCGUAAAGGGUGUGUAGGUGGCGCCGUAAGUGGGGUGUGAAAUUUCGAGGCUUAACCUCGAAACUGCAUUCCAUACUGCGGUGCUUGAGGACUGGAGAGGAGACUGGAAUUUACGGUGUAGCAGUGAAAUGCGUAGAUAUCGUAAGGAAGACCAGUGGCGAAGGCGGGUCUCUGGACAGUUCCUGACACUGAGACACGAAAGCGUGGGGAUCAAACAGG
rnacentral:rRNA from 1 species